GUGUUGGUGUAGUGUACUCAGGUGAAUAUGAUAUUUGUGGUGUUACUCUGAGUGUAUAUCCGCACCGGGCGAGCUUGAAAAAUAUGCCCGGCCACGGUGGGAUUCGAACCUACGACCUUUGGAAUACUAGCCCAAUGCUCUUCCAACUGAGCUACGCGGUCAGGACGGUUCGAGUAAGUGAUAUUUCGGAACAGGAUCCAGUUCCUUCGAUACCAGUGUAUUCUAUUAAUAUGAUUUUUUCUGUGUUGGUGUAGUGUACUCAGGUGAAUAUGAUAUUUGUGGUGUUACUCUGAGUGUAUAUCCGCACCGGGCGAGCUUGAAAAAUAUGCCCGGCCACGGUGGGAUUCGAACCUACGACCUUUGGAAUACUAGCCCAAUGCUCUUCCAACUGAGCUACGCGGUCAGGACGGUUCGAGUAAGUGAUAUUUCGGAACAGGAUCCAGUUCCUUCGAUACCAGUGUAUUCUAU